GAUGGACGCUAGCGGGAGGCCUAACACAUGCAAGCCGAGCGGUAUUGUUUCUUCGGAAAUGAGAGAGCGGCGUACGGGUGCGUAGCACGUGUGCAACCUGCCUUUAUCUGGGGGAUAGCCUUUCGAAAGGAAGAUUAAUACUCCAUAAUAUAUUGAACGGCAUCGUUUAAUAUUGAAAGCUCCGGCGGAUAGAGAUGGGCACGCGCAAGAUUAGCUAGUUGGUGAGGUAACGGCUCACCAAGGCGAUGAUCUUUAGGGGGCCUGAGAGGGUGAUCCCCCACACUGGUACUGAGACACGGACCAGACUCCUACGGGAGGCAGCAGUGAGGAAUAUUGGUCAAUGGGUGCAAGCCUGAACCAGCCAUCCCGCGUGAAGGACGACUGCCCUAUGGGUUGUAAACUUCUUUUGGAUAGGGAUAAACCUACACUCGUGAGGGUAGCUGAAGGUACUAUACGAAUAAGCACCGGCUAACUCCGUG
rnacentral:rRNA from 1 species